ACCUGGGUGGCUCAGUUGGUUGAGCGUCUGACUUCAGCUCAGAUCAUGAUCUCACAGUUCGUGAGUUCGAGACCUGCAUCAGGCU
rnacentral:tRNA from 1 species